rnacentral:rRNA from 1 species
CCUACGGGAGACAGCAGUGAGGAAUAUUGGUCAAUGGACGAGAGUCUGAACCAGCCAAGUAGCGUGAAGGAUGACUGCCCUAUGGGUUGUAAACUUCUUUUAUAUGGGAAUAAAAUGUUCCACGUGUGGGCUUUUGUAUGUACCAUAUGAAUAAGGAUCGGCUAACUCCGUGCCAGCAGCCGCGGUAAUACGGAGGAUCCGAGCGUUAUCCGGAUUUAUUGGGUUUAAAGGGAGCGUAGAUGGGUUGUUAAGUCAGUUGUGAAAGUUUGCGGCUCAACCGUAAAAUUGCAAUUGAUACUGGCAGUCUUGAGUACAGUUGAGGUAGGCGGAAUUCGUGGUGUAGCGGUGAAAUGCUUAGAUAUCACGAAGAACCCCGAUUGCGAAGGCAGCUUACUAAACUGUGACUGACAUUGAUGCUCGAAAGUGUGGGUAUCAAACAGGAUUAGAUACCCCAGUAGUC